rnacentral:rRNA from 1 species
GAUGAACGCUGGCGGCGUGCUUAACACAUGCAAGUCGAACGAUGAAGCCCAGCUUGCUGGGUGGAUUAGUGGCGAACGGGUGAGUAACACGUGAGUAACCUGCCCUUAACUCUGGGAUAAGCCUGGGAAACUGGGUCUAAUACCGGAUAGGAGCGUCCACCGCAUGGUGGGUGUUGGAAAGAUUUAUCGGUUUUGGAUGGACUCGCAGCCUAUCAGCUUGUUGGUGAGGUAAUGGCUCACCAAGGCGACGACGGGUAGCCGGCCUGAGAGGGUGACCGGCCACACUGGGACUGAGACACGGCCCAGACUCCUACGGGAGGCAGCAGUGGGGAAUAUUGCACAAUGGGCGCAAGCCUGAUGCAGCGACGCCGCGUGAGGGAUGACGGCCUUCGGGUUGUAAACCUCUUUCAGUAGGGAAGAAGCGAAAGUGACGGUACCUGCAGAAGAAGCACCGGCUAACUACGU